rnacentral:rRNA from 1 species
GACAGCGGCGAUAGCACGUUGAAUACGCCAGUUCCCAGUCAAUCACCUUGGUUAAGCAACGUUUUACGUAGUUGGUAUCCGGAUGGGUGACCCAAUUCUGUGCUGCUGGCU